UACGUAGGCAGCAAGCGUUGUUCGGAGUUACUGGGCGUAAAGAGUGCGUAGGUGGUGCCCUAAGUCUGUUGUGAAAUCUCCCGGCUUAACUGAGAGGGUGCGGUGGAAACUGGGGUGCUUGAGUGUGGGAGAGGUAAGCGGAAUUCCUGGUGUAGCGGUGAAAUGCGUAGAUAUCAGGAGGAACACCGGUGGUGUAGACGGCUUACUGGACCACGACUGACACUGAGGCACGAAAGCGUGGGUAGCAAACAGG
rnacentral:rRNA from 1 species